rnacentral:rRNA from 1 species
GACGAACGCUGGCGGCGUGCUUAACACAUGCAAGUCGAACGGAAAGGCCCUGCUUUUGUGGGGUGCUCGAGUGGCGAACGGGUGAGUAACACGUGAGUAACCUGCCCUUGACUUUGGGAUAACUUCAGGAAACUGGGGCUAAUACCGGAUAGGAGCUCCUGCUGCAUGGUGGGGGUUGGAAAGUUUCGGCGGUUGGGGAUGGACUCGCGGCUUAUCAGCUUGUUGGUGGGGUAGUGGCUUACCAAGGCUUUGACGGGUAGCCGGCCUGAGAGGGUGACCGGCCACAUGGGGACUGGGAUACGGCCCGGACUCCUCCGGGGGGCAGCGGUGGGGAGAUUUGAACAUUGGGCGAAAGCCUGUGGCAGCAACGCCGCGUGCGGGAUGACGGCCUUCGGGUUGUAACCCGCUUUCGCCUGUGACGAAGCGUGAGUGACGGUAAUGGGUAAAGAAGCACCGGCUAACUACGU